rnacentral:rRNA from 1 species
CAGUCGCCGCGGUAAUACGUAGGGUGCGAGCGUUAAUCGGAAUUACUGGGCGUAAAGCGUGCGCAGGCGGUUAUAUAAGACAGAUGUGAAAUCCCCGGGCUCAACCUGGGACCUGCAUUUGUGACUGUAUAGCUAGAGUACGGUAGAGGGGGAUGGAAUUCCGCGUGUAGCAGUGAAAUGCGUAGAUAUGCGGAGGAACACCGAUGGCGAAGGCAAUCCCCUGGACCUGUACUGACGCUCAUGCACGGAAGCGUGGGGAGCAAACAGGAUUAGAUACCCGUGUAGUCCCUGUCUCUUAUAC